GACGAACGCUGGCGGCGUGCCUAAUACAUGCAAGUCGAGCGGGGAGCCUUGAGACGGAGGCUUCGGCCAAAGUCUUAAGGAUCCUAGCGGCGAACGGGUGAGUAACGCGUGGGCAACCUGCCCUAUCGCCCGGGAUAACCCUCGGAAACGAGGGCUAAUACCGGAUGCGGUCACCGGCUCGCAUGAGCGGGUGACGAAAGGGCCAUGGGUCCGCGAUAGGAUGGGCCCGCGUCCCAUUAGCUAGUUGGUGGGGUAACGGCCCACCAAGGCGACGAUGGGUAGCCGGCCUGAGAGGGUGGACGGCCACACUGGCACUGAGACACGGGCCAGACUCCUACGGGAGGCAGCAGUAGGGAAUCUUGCGCAAUGGGCGAAAGCCUGACGCAGCGACGCCGCGUGGGGGAUGAAGGUCUUCGGAUCGUAAACCCCUGUCUUUGGGGACGAAGCAUGACGGUACCCAAGGAGGAAGCCCCGGCUAACUACGUGCCAGCAGCCGCGGUAAAACGUAGGGGGCGAGCGUUGUCCGGAAUUACUGGGCGUAAAGGGUGCGUAGGCGGCCGCUUAAGUCCUGUGUGAAAGGCCCCGGCUUAACCGGGGAGGGUCAUGGGAAACUGGGCGGCUUGAGUGCCGGAGAGGGUGGCGGAAUUCCCGGUGUAGCGGUGAAAUGCGUAGAGAUCGGGAGGAACACCAGUGGCGAAGGCGGCCACCUGGACGGUAACUGACGCUGAGGCACGACAGCUGGGGGAGCAAACAGGAUUAGAUACCCUGGUAGUCCCAGCCGUAAACGAUGAGUGCUAGGUGUUGCGGGUAUCGACCCCUGCAGUGCCGUAGUUAACGCAAUAAGCACUCCGCCUGGGGAGUACGGCCGCAAGGCUGA
rnacentral:rRNA from 1 species